rnacentral:lncRNA from 1 species
CCAUUUUUCAACAACAUUUUUAAUCUACGGAUGCAUACCCCAAACUUAUCUUUUUGCACAAGUUUUACAUUACACAGUCAUGCCGAGCUAGGGUAGGGAGUGUAGGGCUAAGGGUUAACAUGAUGGUUUAAACAAACAAAGGGUUACAGGCUCAAAGGGGUUAACAACGGAUGAAAACAACAUUAUGGGUGGCUAGAAAGGCUCAAAGGUUGAAA